UCGUUGAAUGGUCGGACCUUGGAGAGAUCUGAGGGUGCUCGAAAGAGAACCGAUACACAGGUGCUGCAUGGCUGUCGUCCGCUCGUGUCGUGAGAUGUUGGGUUAAGUCCCGCAACGAGCGCAACCCUUGUCCUUAGUUGCUACGCAAGAGCACUCUAGGGAGACUGCCGGUGACAAACCGGAGGAAGGUGGGGAUGACGUCAAGUCCUCAUGGCCCUUAUGGGUAGGGCUUCACACGUCAUACAAUGGUCGGAACAGAGGGUCGCCAACCCGCGAGGGGGAGCUAAUCCCAGAAAACCGAUCGUAGUCCGGAUUGCACUCUGCAACUCGAGUGCAUGAAGCUGGAAUCGCUAGUAAUCGCGGAUCAACAUGCCGAGGAGAAUACGUUCCCGGGUCUUGUACACACCGA
rnacentral:rRNA from 1 species